rnacentral:rRNA from 1 species
AAAUGAAUAGACGGGGACUUGCACAAGCGGUGGAUCAUGUGGUUUAAUUCGAUGAUAAACGAAGAACCUUACCAAGAUUAGAAAUCCUAUUCAUGCCCUUGUAGAAAUACGAGGGAUAUCGGGUAGGACAGGUGUUGCAUGGCCGUCGUCAGUUCGUGGUUUGAAUUGUUCCCUUAAGUGGGGUAACGAACGAAACCCUCAUUGUGUGUUAUACAUGUCACACGAGACUGCCCUUUUUACGGGGAGGAAGGAGAGGAUGACGCCAGGUCAGCAUGACCCUUGAUAUCUUGGGCUACACACGUGAUACAAUGGGUGAGACAACGGGUCGCGACGGAGUAAUCCUGAGCCAAUCCUUCAAACUCAUCCUCAGUUCGGAUUGAGGGCUGCAACUCGCCCUCAUGAAGUCGGAAUCGCUAGUAAUCGCGGGUCAGCUAUACCGCGGUGAAUACGUUCUCAAGUCUUGUACACACCGCCCGU